GUGUGACUGCGUACCUUUUGUAUAAUGGGUCAGCGACUUAUAUUCUGUAGCAAGGUUAACCGAAUAGGGGAGCCGAAGGGAAACCGAGUCUUAACUGGGCGUUAAGUUGCAGGGUAUAGACCCGAAACCCGGUGAUCUAGCCAUGGGCAGGUUGAAGGUUGGGUAACACUAACUGGAGGACCGAACCGACUAAUGUUGAAAAAUUAGCGGAUGACUUGUGGCUGGGGGUGAAAGGCCAAUCAAACCGGGAGAUAGCUGGUUCUCCCCGAAAGCUAUUUAGGUAGCGCCUCGUGAAUUCAUCUCCGGGGGUAGAGCACUGUUUCGGCAAGGGGGUCAUCCCGACUUACCAACCCGAUGCAAACUGCGAAUACCGGAGAAUGUUAUCACGGGAGACACACGGCGGGUGCUAACGUCCGUCGUGAAGAGGGAAACAACCCAGACCGCCAGCUAAGGUCCCAAAGUCAUGGUUAAGUGGGAAACGAUGUGGGAAGGCCCAGACAGCCAGGAUGUUGGCUUAGAAGCAGCCAUCAUUUAAAGAAAGCGUAAUAGCUCACUGGUCGAGUCGGCCUGCGCGGAAGAUGUAACGGGGCUAAACCAUGCACCGAAGCUGCGGCAGCGACGCUUAUGCGUUGUUGGGUAGGGGAGCGUUCUGUAAGCCUGCGAAGGUGUGCUGUGAGGCAUGCUGGAGGUAUCAGAAGUGCGAAUGCUGACAUAAGUAACGAUAAAGCGGGUGAAAAGCCCGCUCGCCGGAAGACCAAGGGUUCCUGUCCAACGUUAAUCGGGGCAGGGUGAGUCGACCCCUAAGGCGAGGCCGAAAGGCGUAGUCGAUGGGAAACAGGUUAAUAUUCCUGUACUUGGUGUUACUGCGAAGGGGGGACGGAGAAGGCUAUGUUGGCCGGGCGACGGUUGUCCCGGUUUAAGCGUGUAGGCUGGUUUUCCAGGCAAAUCCGGAAAAUCAAGGCUGAGGCGUGAUGACGAGGCACUACGGUGCUGAAGCAACAAAUGCCCUGCUUCCAGGAAAAGCCUCUAAGCAUCAGGUAACAUCAAAUCGUACCCCAAACCGACACAGGUGGUCAGGUAGAGAAUACCAAGGCGCUUGAGAGAACUCGGGUGAAGGAACUAGGCAAAAUGGUGCCGUAACUUCGGGAGAAGGCACGCUGAUAUGUAGGUGAAGUCCCUCGCGGAUGGAGCUGAAAUCAGUCGAAGAUACCAGCUGGCUGCAACUGUUUAUUAAAAACACAGCACUGUGCAAACACGAAAGUGGACGUAUACGGUGUGACGCCUGCCCGGUGCCGGAAGGUUAAUUGAUGGGGUCAGCGCAAGCGAAGCUCUUGAUCGAAGCCCCGGUAAACGGCGGCCGUAACUAUAACGGUCCUAAGGUAGCGAAAUUCCUUGUCGGGUAAGUUCCGACCUGCACGAAUGGCGUAAUGAUGGCCAGGCUGUCUCCACCCGAGACUCAGUGAAAUUGAACUCGCUGUGAAGAUGCAGUGUACCCGCGGCAAGACGGAAAGACCCCGUGAACCUUUACUAUAGCUUGACACUGAACAUUGAGCCUUGAUGUGUAGGAUAGGUGGGAGGCUUUGAAGUGUGGACGCCAGUCUGCAUGGAGCCGACCUUGAAAUACCACCCUUUAAUGUUUGAUGUUCUAACGUGGACCCGUAAUCCGGGUUGCGGACAGUGUCUGGUGGGUAGUUUGACUGGGGCGGUCUCCUCCUAAAGAGUAACGGAGGAGCACGAAGGUUGGCUAAUCCUGGUCGGACAUCAGGAGGUUAGUGCAAUGGCAUAAGCCAGCUUGACUGCGAGCGUGACGGCGCGAGCAGGUGCGAAAGCAGGUCAUAGUGAUCCGGUGGUUCUGAAUGGAAGGGCCAUCGCUCAACGGAUAAAAGGUACUCCGGGGAUAACAGGCUGAUACCGCCCAAGAGUUCAUAUCGACGGCGGUGUUUGGCACCUCGAUGUCGGCUCAUCACAUCCUGGGGCUGAAGUAGGUCCCAAGGGUAUGGCUGUUCGCCAUUUAAAGUGGUACGCGAGCUGGGUUUAGAACGUCGUGAGACAGUUCGGUCCCUAUCUGCCGUGGGCGCUGGAGAACUGAGGGGGGCUGCUCCUAGUACGAGAGGACCGGAGUGGACGCAUCACUGGUGUUCGGGUUGUCAUGCCAAUGGCACUGCCCGGUAGCUAAAUGCGGAAGAGAUAAGUGCUGAAAGCAUCUAAGCACGAAACUUGCCCCGAGAUGAGUUCUCCCUGACUCCUUGAGAGUCCUGAAGGAACGUUGAAGACGACGACGUUGAUAGGCCGGGUGUGUAAGCGCAGCGAUGCGUUGAGCUAACCGGUACUAAUGAACCGUGAGGCUUAACCUU
rnacentral:rRNA from 1 species